GUCGGGGUGGCGAAAUUGGUAGACGCGCGUCACUUAAGAUGACGUGACCGAAAGGUUCUGAGGGUUCGAUUCCCUCCCCCGACA
rnacentral:tRNA from 3 species